GACGAACGCUGGCGGCGUGCUUAACACAUGCAAGUGGAGCGACGAACCAGGGCUUGCCCUGGGGCAGAGCCGCGAACGGGUGAGUAACACGUGGGUAACGUGCCCCGAUGAUCGGGACAACCCGGGGAAACCCGGGCUAAUACCGAAUGUGCUCCCCUCACACCAGUGAGGGAUGGAAAGGAAGCUUCGGCCUCCGCAUCGGGAUCGGCCCGCGGCCCAUUAGCUUGUUGGUGAGGUAACGGCUCACCAAGGCUGCGAUGGGUAGCUGGUCUGAGAGGACGAUCAGCCACACUGGGACUGAGACACGGCCCAGACUCCUACGGGAGGCAGCAGUGGGGAAUCUUGCGCAAUGCG
rnacentral:rRNA from 1 species